UUAACGCAGCCAGGAUUGCCCCUAGCCGCCGAGACACAUCCAUAAUUCUAGACCCAGUCAUCGACACAUCGAGCCAGCCGCUCGCUUCCUCGCGACCUCCCGAUUCUGCCAUCUCGCUCGCUCGUCGCUCGCCGUCCCCGCCUAUGUAGCCGAUCGUUGGGCGCCCAGGACCACAGCCUGUCCAUCCCGCCCGCUCGGUGUUUGGGGCUCGGCGGCGGCCGCGCCACCUCAAUUGCAGAGUCUUGCCCCUACAAGCCGGCGCCGCUGCCCAAUCUGCACAUCAGCGCUCGGCCAAGAGGAAGUAGCCAGCCAGCAAGCAUCCGUGUUGAUUUGCGGGAAACAAUGAGAAGCACUGAGGUUUACAAGAUGGCUUCACUGAUGAUUACCUCUCAAAC